GGACUACUGGGGUAUCUAAUCCCGUUCGCUCCCCACGCUUUCGCGCUACAGCGUCAGUUGCGGGCCAGAAGGCCGCCUUCGCCACUGGUGUUCCUCCCGAUAUCUACGCAUUUCACUACUACACCGGGAAUUCCACCUUCCUCUCCCGCACUCGAGCCGACCAGUAUUGGAGGCAGUUUCGGGGUUGAGCCCCGAAAUUUCACCACCAACUUAGCCGGCCGCCUUAGCGCGCUUUACGCCCAGUAAAUCCGGAUAACGCUCGCCCCCUACGUAUUACCGCGGCUGCUGGCAC
rnacentral:rRNA from 1 species